CCGAGUUCUAACAAACUCCCAAACCCCUGUGAACAUACCUACUGUUGCUUCGGCGGGACCGCCCCGGGCGCCUUCUCGGUGCCCCCGGAACCAGGCGCCCGCCGGGGACACCAAACUCUUGAUUGUUAUAGUGGCAUUCUCUAAGUAAAACAUACAAAUAAGUCA
rnacentral:misc_RNA from 1 species